rnacentral:rRNA from 1 species
AUGGCUGGCUUCGAAGGUUUCAAGUUCUUUGAGAUCGUAAUUGAGAAAUCUUGCAGCAGGCAGAGGCUGCCUGACAAGUUUGCGAAGAUGCUCGCCGGCCGUGAGCCCCACAAAGUGAAGCUGCGGGAGGUCGGCAGCGGGCUUCGCAGGCUGUGGGACGUGUUGGUGGUGUUCGAUGGCGAAGGCCACAUGUACCUAGGGCCCGCCUGGGAUCAUUUCGCCCGCGCCCAUGAGCUACAGCUUGGGCACUUCCUUGUCUUCCGCUACGACGGCGACGCCAUGUUCACCGUGAAGAUGUUCGACAACACCAUGUGCCACAUGUACUACCAGCACGACCACGAUGCCACUAAGCAAUGGGAGCAGCAACGGGGAUGA